GUCCUAUUGAUUAAUUUAUAUUAGGUUUUACCUGCUCAAUGAUAAUUAAAUUAUUAAAUAGCCGCAGUAUAUUGACUGUGCAAAGGUAGCAUAAUCAUUUGUCUUUUAAUUGAGGACUUGUAUGAAUGGUUUGAUGAGAUAUUGACUUUCUUUAUAUAAAAUUAAAAAAAUUAAUUUUUUAGUUAAAAGGCUAAAAUAAUUUUAAGGGACGAGAAGACCCUAUAGAAUUUUAUACUUUUUAAAUUUAUAAUGUUUCUGGUUAUUUUUAAGUUUUAUUUUUAUAAGUAUUUUGUUGGGGUGACAGGGAAAUUUCUUAAACUUUCUUUAUUUAUACAUUAUUAAUGAAUAAAUUUUUGAUCCUAUUUUAAGGAUUUUAAGAUUAAAUUACCUUAGGGAUAACAGCGUAAUUUCUUUGGAGAGUUCUUAUCGAUAAAGGAGUUUGCGACCUCGAUGUUGGAUUAAAAUUAGUUUUAGGUGUAGAAGCUUAAUUACUAGGUCUGUUCGACCUUUAAAAUUUUACA
rnacentral:rRNA from 1 species